CUCGUCCUCCUCGCAUUUCAGUUCUUUCCUCGGUCUCCCACGUUUUCCCAUAUUUAAUUCAGGUUUUUGGGGUUUUUUUUAAAUGACAGAUUUCGUGAUAGUCCUUUAUCUUGGGAAGAGCCCAGGAAGGUGCCAAAGCAGGCAGAGGAGAACAGUCUGUCGCUGACUUUUCGAUCCUCUCCUUGGGCAGUUUGUCCAGCUGUUGCAAGGCCUCAGAAGCUGUUUUCCAGUCCCUCUUUGAAGAUGUGGAAAAAAAGGGGAAUGUCAAUUUUUUUUAAUCAAAAAUAAAAUUGAAAGACUGUAA